rnacentral:lncRNA from 1 species
GCGGCACAAAAGCCAGAAAAUGCCCGGUGUUUAUGUAUGACACCGGAAGCAUACCUAUGACGUCACGUAGUGUAGGGACCAAAGAAGAUAACAUCUUUUCGCGGAAUUUUCUUUAAUGAAGAUUUUACACUGAAAUUGUGAUUGAAAUUUAAUUAUGAACUUGUUUUGCAUUAGAAUAGAGAUAACUGUAUUGUAUUUGAAGCUUUGCGGACGUCCAUCGGUAGUUUUAC